GUGGCGGAAUUGGUAGACGCUGCGGACUUAAAAUCCGCUUCCGGUAACGGAGUGAGGGUUCGAGUCCCUCCGGCGGCA
rnacentral:tRNA from 1 species